rnacentral:sRNA from 1 species
ACGGGCAGUAGUGCCUGGAAGCUUAACCCACACACGUAUCGACACGAUUUCCUGGGUGCCCGCAAGGGUUGGAGAUUGGGAUGCGUGGAGGCCUAACC